rnacentral:rRNA from 1 species
AGUUGCCAGCAGUUCGGCUGGGCACUCUAAAGGGAACUGCCGGUGUUAAACCGGAGGAAGUGGGGGAAUGACGUCAAGUCCUCAUGGCCUUAUGACCAGGGCUACACACGUACUACAAUGGCCGAUACAAAGGGCAGCGACACUGCGAGGUGAAGCCAAUCCCGUAAAAUCGGUCUCAGUCCGGAUUGGAGUCUGCAACUCGACUCCAUGAAGUUGGAAUCGCUAGUAAUCGUGGAUCAGCAUGCCACGGUGAAUACGUUCCCGGGCCUU